CUUUCAUCACUUUGUGCCCUUUGCUGAGAAUUGCCCUGGCUCUGUACAGCACUGCUUAGCAGCAACUAUAAACAUCAGAGUGUUAUCAACAUUGCUUUUCUCCUAAAACUAAAACAUAGCAUCAUACAAGACAUUCUAAAGAAAACAGUCUCUUCCCAGUUGAAACUAAGAUGUGAGCAGGGAGAGGGCCUCAGAGCAGAGACGAAGAUGCUGAUAUGAUCCUUAAGGUAUUCUAACUGAUAAUAAUGGCUCCAAGUCAAUAGGAUGAACUUCCAGAGAAUCCCAACUAAUGCUACUACAGAUAUUUAGCUUGUCUGUUUCCUCUUUCUACCUUCAUACAUCAUCAAGAAGGAUUUGGUGGCAGUUACUGAAUUUGAUGAAUCUGACUGAAAUUUCUUUUCUGGGUUGUGUGUUACAGGGGUUGCUUGAGGAGCUUUUGUGGUCAGUCUCGGAAUGGAAUCAUUCACUCUCUGUAUCUUCUGGAUUUCAAAACCCCAAAGGGAGUCUCAGAAGCCUGUGAUCUGUUACACCUGCACACUACUGAAGUGAAAAACAAAAACAAAAACAAACAAGAAACAAACAAACAACAACAACAACAAACCAAAAAAAAAAGGAAGAAUGAAAUGUAGAAUGUGGAAAAAAUACAGUGUUGUUUUUUUCUUGUAUUUGUUUUCCAUAUCAGCAAGAACAACUUUGAAAAGUUGUCUUUGAUUAUGAAAUUUCUCUGCUGUUAUCCUAGAUACUUGUGUAAAUACUGUGAGACAUAAAUGCUGUUUUUUGGAGUCAGAGAUACUUGCCCUCUUGUGCACAGCAUUCAGAGAUAGAGCUUUUACAAUAUUCUCUUACAGCAUCCCUGUUUCAUUAUUUUUGAAAGUUGACAUUAGAAUCAAACUGGAUCAGUUUCUGGCUUAUGCUUUAAUGAGGUAAUAGAGGGCAGUUAAGGAUCUGCUUCUUGAAAUGAUAUAUCUGAAUGAAAACCCACCUGUUUCCUUUUGUCAGCUGUCCUCAGAUUCUCUUCUCAGUCAAGUCUAUGAAAUAAUUUGCCAGUUGUUGCAGCCUGUCAACUACACCUGUUAACUAACAGUCAUUUCCAUAUAACAGCUGUCCUGCCAUGGUUUCUGUGUAAUUCUGUCAGUGUCCCCUCCCACCCCCUCCAUCCCACAACACAGAAACCACAGCCAAUUGGCUUUCUUGUGAGUACUUUAAAGAGCCCCAGGCCCAGACAUCAGGGUUGAGUGUCAAUCUGGGAGUGAGGGCCCUUUUUACAGGAGGAUCUAGGGUUUUCAGUAAAUUCAUUUAGUUCAUUGGGUCAGAGUUAUGCUGAACUGGCAAAGUAGAUCUUGCAUAAUGGCUGGUAACAUUUUAUCUGCUGGUGUGGAUACACAGAGGGUUUUGAUUUUCAUCUCUCUCAGUCAUGCAUUUUUUUCCAAAUGCCUGAUUAAUUUUUCAACCAUGCUGUUCAGGCUUUCGUAAUAAUCCUUCCCUUUCAUUCCAGCAAUUUUUGGCUCUUACUAUAACUU
ensembl:lncRNA